ensembl:ncRNA Y67A6A.3 ncRNA
AAUCAGACCGAUUCCACGUGGACGAAGACUUUCCACACUUAUCAAAAGAAUUGAAAAAUUAAAAUAAAAG